rnacentral:rRNA from 1 species
UACAGGGGGGGCAAGCGUUGUUCGGAAUUACUGGGCGUAAAGGGUUCGUAGGUGGCCACUUAAGUCAGACGUGAAAUCCCUCAGCUUAACUGGGGAACUGCGUCUGAUACUGAGUGGCUUGAGUGCAGGAGAGGGAUGCGGAAUUCCACGUGUAGCAGUGAAAUGCGUAGAGAUGUGGAGGAACACCGAUGGCGAAGGCAGCCCCCUGGGCUAACACUGACGCUCAUGCACGAAAGCGUGGGGAUCAAACAGG